rnacentral:rRNA from 1 species
UGGGGAAUUUUGGACAAUGGGCGAAAGCCUGAUCCAGCAAUGCCGCGUGUGCGAAGAAGGCCUUCGGGUUGUAAAGCACUUUUGUCCGGAAAGAAAUCCUUGGCUCUAAUACAGUCGGGGGAUGACGGUACCGGAAGAAUAAGCACCGGCUAACUACGUGCCAGCAGCCGCGGUAAUACGUAGGGUGCAAGCGUUAAUCGGAAUUACUGGGCGUAAAGCGUGCGCAGGCGGUUUGCUAAGACCGAUGUGAAAUCCCCGGGCUCAACCUGGGAACUGCAUUGGUGACUGGCAGGCUAGAGUAUGGCAGAGGGGGGUAGAAUUCCACGUGUAGCAGUGAAAUGCGUAGAGAUGUGGAGGAAUACCGAUGGCGAAGGCAGCCCCCUGGGCCAAUACUGACGCUCAUGCACGAAAGCGUGGGGAGCAAACAGGAUUAGAUACCCUGGUAGUCCACGCCCUAAACGAUGUCAACUAGUUGUUGGGGAUUCAUUUCCUUAGUAACGUAGCUAACGCGUGAAGUUGACCGCCUGGGGAGUACGGUCGCAAGAUUAAAACUCAAAUGAAUUGACGGGGUCAUA